AAGUCCGGAAUGUAGAAAUCUGGAAAAUAAUGUUCACGAACACUCAGUGUCAUCGGCUUCGAAUAAAAAAAAUCUGGAUUUCUAUAUACACAGAGUGAUCAACAUAUGGUAAGACACCCUGAAAAUUUUUAAAUAUUUCCGGAAUUCGAUUUCUAGGAUAUUUACGAAACAAGCUUUUCUACGAUUUUAUAUUUACGCUGUUUGUUCGUCACCCUUAUUUUCGGGGAUAAAACCACUGCCCACGUUUGUUUUUAAAACGGCGACCAAUACUAAAAAUUUCAUAAAUAAAUGGAGUAUUAGUUAAAAAUAAAUUUUGCCGUUGAGACGAUUGAUUUCCGUCAAUCCGCCGACGAGUUAUUCCACCAGUCGUGG